rnacentral:rRNA from 1 species
GAUGAACGCUAGCUACAGGCUUAACACAUGCAAGUCGAGGGGCAGCAUGAACUUAGCUUGCUAAGUUUGAUGGCGACCGGCGCACGGGUGAGUAACACGUAUCCAACCUGCCGAUGACUCGGGGAUAGCCUUUCGAAAGAAAGAUUAAUACCCGAUGGCAUAAUUCUUCCGCAUGGUAGAACUAUUAAAGAAUUUCGGUCAUCGAUGGGGAUGCGUUCCAUUAGGUUGUUGGCGGGGUAACGGCCCACCAAGCCUUCGAUGGAUAGGGGUUCUGAGAGGAAGGUCCCCCACAUUGGAACUGAGACACGGCCCAGACUCCUACGGAGGCAGCAGUGGGGAAUAUUGCACAAUGGGGGAAACCCUGAUGCAGCGACGCCGCGUGGAGGAAGAAGGUCUUCGGAUUGUAAACUCCUGUUGUUGGGGAAGAUAAUCGACGGUACCCAACAAGGAAGUGACGGCUAACUACGUG